CUGACCAACGCGGAAGCUUGGAGGGCAAUGGCCGCCUUCAUUGAACACUAUAGGGAGCCGUAGCGCGGACUUGUUAAUUGUUCAUCCCUUAAAAAUGAGGCGUAUGUAUAUCACCUGACAACCACAGAAAUCCAGAAGCAUGAAGUGAAACUUAAAGUUUUGGGCACUCGCGACCCUCCAACAGCAUCUGCUACACUGUUUCAGUCCCUUACACAGCUGAGUCCUAGCCAGAACUUCACGUCAUGAUAUUUACAUAUAUACAAACAAAGAUCCUUCCCUUUACACAGCCUCCUGGAUAAACGCCUAUACAAAUACGGACAGCUAUUUGUAAUUUAGAGCCGGUUGGGUCAAUAACGCUGCAGUUUCAGAGGUGGAGGGUGAUAAAUUCUUCAUAAUCAAAGCAAAGAAUGAAAACAAGGAUGAGGAGGACCAUGAUGAAGAGGACUGUGCGACCCAGCUGUAUUAAAGUUGCGGGACUUUCUGGCUGACUGUGUUUGGGCAACCCUCGUGCAAUCCACCACCAUGAGUCGUACCAGGCUUGAUCUCCGCCACAAUACACACAUCAUCUGUUAAACACACCAGGAAUAUUCGAGGUACACAACAGCAGGCGUCAAGCUGCAGACAAGUCAUACAUCUUCUCUGUUUUCUUUGGAGGAAGUGGUGGGGCAGAAUCUUUGUGUUGAUAUUCAUGUACUGUAUAUGUUCAGUGUGUGUGUUCAAGCAUGUUUUCCCCUGCAUCUGACUGUUAGUAGUGAUGUAACCAACAACAUGCUGAUGUCUCUGUGAGUCUGCAAACAGUCAUCACCAGGCCUCAAACAAAAGGACUCCUUGGCUUGUGCGUAAAAAUGAUCACUUCAAGGAGAGAGGACCUGGAUCUUAUCAUUCAGUGGUUUAACACUAGCCAGACCGCCGCUUGCUCACUCCAGGGCAGCAAAUUAGGAGUGGGGAGCUGCCGACUGAGCUUGUGACAGGGACGUGAUGGAGAGCAGGCCGGCUGGGCGGCUUCACAGCUCGCAUGGGCCGAGAUAGGAGAGGAAUGCUUUCCGUCUAUAGCCAGGAAAAGUGGUGCAGGAGUGGUAGCUCUUGUGGAUGAUUUUGUUUCACUUCUUGAACCUUUAAAGAUUCUAUGCAUGUGCAAGUAAACAGUUUGAACAGUGGGAUACUUCAUUAAUAUGGGAUACUCAUGUGGCGGCCAUCUGUUGCAUUAGUGUGGAUGUUAGAAUGGAUAGAAACCAGGAUAAAUUGACAAAUCUGGCACAUACAUUUGUGAAACCACACAACCAUACAUUGAAGAGCUAUUUUAGUUUGGUGCAUGGAAGCUGUUUUAAAAUGUUACAUGGAUAAAGAUUUAAUGUGUGUUUUGUAUUAACCUCCGACAGUAACAGAUUUACUUUUAUUGAAUGAAUCCUCUUUAGUCAUAUAUCUUUGUUAGAUAGUUGUCUUUAGGCGUUUUUCGACCGGAGGAACUUUACCCCGGAACUAGGGUCU